AAAGAACCACAGAUUAGGUGCCUUAAGCAACAGAAAUUUAUUUCCUCACAGUUCUGGACGCUGGAAGUCCGACAACAAGAUAUUGGAAAGACAACAUCUGAAAAUUCUGCCUGAUAGAUAGAGAGAAGCAUCCUGGCAAGAGACACGGAGCUGACAGACGAAGAGAUGCACGUCUGACAGAAUUGGGACUAUUCACCCAAAGUGAGACAAAGUGAAAUGCCAAGCACAUUGAGAAUCUCUUCCUUCUUACUGUCAACGGAUUCACCUAAUCAAAGCACUUUUAGUCACUGCAUCCAAUUUCCAUCCUCAUCCAACACAUGGUGGGGUCUUUUUCUCGUUUCUUCUGAGUUGACACACACAAAACCCAAGAGUCCCACUUUUGGCGAGGAACGUGUUGCUGUCAGCUUGCAUUUGUUACCGCACAUUGGUUCCCCGUGUCCCAGUAAUGACCCCCUGUAAAGGCCACUGGGCAAGAGAAUUGCAAGAUCGAGCGAGGCGGCGGGAAUUACAGGAAAGGAUUAACGGCAGAACAGCCUGUUGCGACAGCGAAAAACAGCCCGAGGACAGGGGCGUGCUCCCAUCUGACAGGCGGAAGUGUGCCAGGGUUUAUGUAUUAGGUCACAGCAAGAAAGCUAUUUUUGCUGUGCCCUCUGACCUUCUGUAGAAGGUCUGGGAAUUCAGCCAAAAAUUCCUGAAGGAUGAAUUCCUUUUCCUCGGUGAGGUUGACAUUUGAGCACACAUCGCCCUCUUGUGUCUACGACACAUUUGGCAACGUAGUUUCCAGCACCUGCUAAUGCACACAGCAAAUUGAAGCCUUGUUAACAUCCCUUAAGCCUGCAGACCUCGGUACAAGGCGGAGGGAGAACAAACGCACCAAUUUUCCCAGAAUAGUCAAGAACAUCCAGAAGAAUCCAGAAUUUGUGAAGAUGGUACUGGUGGACCUUACCUUCCGAAAACUGCUAUCAGGGCCUCUGCAGGAGGCCCUGGCUGUGAUAAAUGUGCAUCUGUAGAGUGCACAACCUGAACAUCCUUACCAAGCAGCCCUGACCAAUAUCUUCCUGCCUAAAGAGUGCCAAUGCUGAGAGUAUGCCUUUAAAACCCCAUUUUGGCCAUUUCUCAAGAAGUAAGUGAGACUUGUACUUCCCUAUCUCCCCUUAAGGGGAGUCCCCAGUGCAUUAGUGGUAGAGCUCUCCCUAAGGACUUUUGUGUGCGUCUCCACCCUCUGUUCUUCUAGGUGCAUCCUGUUUUUAAUGGGGCAUAAUCUCUUACCUCAAAAGAGCAAAGCUCCACUGGCAAACCUCUAGACCACAUUAGUGAUCAGCAAGUAAGGGGGACAUUUGGUGCAGCAUCACAUUUCUGACAUCCCUUCAUGCUUUUUAUGUCUGACUCUGUCAUCUCUGCUAAAAGAAGCCUCUCUUUUUAUUUCCUUUUUUUCUUCUAGUUUUUUUUUUUGUUUUUUUUUUUUUUUUGUAGACAGGGCCUAGUGGUCUUCCUAGGCUGGUCUCAAACUUCUGGACUCAAGGGAUAUUCCCACCUCAGCCUCCCAAACUGUUGGGAUUACAGGCGUGAGCCAU
rnacentral:lncRNA from 1 species